GACGAACGCUGGCGGCAUGCCUUACACAUGCAAGUCGAACGGCAGCACGGGUGCUUGCACCUGGUGGCGAGUGGCGAACGGGUGAGUAAUACAUCGGAACGUACCUUAUCGUGGGGGAUAACGCAGCGAAAGCUGUGCUAAUACCGCAUACGCCCUGAGGGGGAAAGCGGGGGAUCGAAAGACCUCGCGCGAUUAGAGCGGCCGAUGCCUGAUUAGCUUGUUGGUGGGGUAAAAGCCCACCAAGGCGACGAUCAGUAGCUGGUCUGAGAGGACGAUCAGCCACACUGGGACUGAGACACGGCCCAGACUCCUACGGGAGGCAGCAGUGGGGAAUUUUGGACAAUGGGGGCAACCCUGAUCCAGCAAUGCCGCGUGAGUGAAGAAGGCCUUCGGGUUGUAAAGCUCUUUUGUCAGGGAAGAAACACCGGCUCUAACACAGUCCGGGAAUGACGGUACCUGAAGAAUAAGCACCGGCUAACUACGUGCCAGCCGCCGCCGUAA
rnacentral:rRNA from 1 species